rnacentral:rRNA from 1 species
UACGUAGGUGGCAAGCGUUGUCCGGAUUUAUUGGGCGUAAAGCGCGCGCAGGCGGUCUUUUAAGUCUGAUGUGAAAUCUCGCGGCUCAACCGUGAGCGGUCAUUGGAACUGAGACUUGAGUACAGAAGAGGAGAGUGGAAUUCCACGUGUAGCGGUGAAAUGCGUAGAUAUGUGGAGGAACACCAGUGGCGAAGGCGGCGUUCUGGACUGCAACUGACACUGAGAAACGAAAGCCAGGGUAGACGAAA